rnacentral:rRNA from 1 species
AGAGUUUGAUCAUGGCUCAGACGAACGCUGGCGGCAGGCUUAACACAUGCAAGUCGAACGCCCCUUCGGGGGAGUGGCAGACGGGUGAGUAACGCGUGGGAACGUGCCCUUCAGUUCGGAAUAACCCAGGGAAACUUGGGCUAAUACCGGAUACGUGCGAGAGCAGAAAGAUUUAUCGCUGAAGGAUCGGCCCGCGUCUGAUUAGCUAGUUGGUGAGGUAAUGGCUCACCAAGGCGACGAUCAGUAGCUGGUCUGAGAGGAUGAUCAGCCACACUGGGACUGAGACACGGCCCAGACUCCUACGGGAGGCAGCAGUGGGGAAUAUUGGACAAUGGGCGCAAGCCUGAUCCAGCCAUGCCGCGUGAGUGAUGACGGCCUUAGGGUCGUAAAGCUCUUUCGGCGGGGACGAUAAUGACGGUACCCGCAGAAGAAGCCCCGGCUAACUUCGUGCCAGCAGCCGCGGUAAUACGAAGGGGGCUAGCGUUGUUCGGAAUCACUGGGCGUAAAGGGCGCGUAGGCGGCUUUGUAAGUCGGGGGUGAAAGCCUGUGGCUCAACCACAGAAUUGCCUUCGAUACUGCAUGGCUUGAGACCGGAAGAGGUAAGUGGAACUGCGAGUGUAGAGGUGAAAUUCGUAGAUAUUCGCAAGAACACCAGUGGCGAAGGCGGCUUACUGGUCCGGUUCUGACGCUGAGGCGUGAAAGCGUGGGGAGCAAACAGGAUUAGAUACCCUAGUAGUCC